CUAAGUUUGAUGGCGACCGGCGCACGGGUGAGUAACACGUAUCCAACCUGCCGAUGACUCGGGGAUAGCCUUUCGAAAGAAAGAUUAAUACCCGAUGGCAUAGUUCUUCCGCAUGGUGGAACUAUUAAAGAAUUUCGGUCGUCGAUGGGGAUGCGUUCCAUUAGGUUGUUGGCGGGGUAACGGCCCACCAAGCCUUCGAUGGAUAGGGGUUCUGAGAGGAAGGUCCCCCACAUUGGAACUGAGACACGGUCCAAACUCCUACGGGAGGCAGCAUG
rnacentral:rRNA from 1 species